CACCUCGAUGUCGGCUCAUCGCAUCCUGGGGCUGUAGCAGGUCCCAAGGGUUGGGCUGUUCGCCCAUUAAAGCGGUACGCGAGCUGGGUUCAGAACGUCGUGAGACAGUUCGGUCCCUAUCCGGCGCGGGCGUAGGAUAUUUGAGAGGAGCUGUCCUUAGUACGAGAGGACCGGGAUGGACGGACCGCUGGUGUAUCUGUUGGGUACCAAGCCCAUGGCAGAGUAGCCAAGUCUGGACGGGAUAAACGCUGAAGGCAUCUAAGCGUGAAGCCCCCCUCAAGAUGAGAUAUCCCAUMGCRUAAGCKAGUAAGACCCCUUGAAGACGACGAGGUAGAUAGGUUAGAGGUGGAAGUGCAGUAAUGUAUGGAGCUGACUAAUACUAAUCGGUCGAGGGCUUAACCAAA
rnacentral:rRNA from 2 species